CUCCGUUGUAGUUCGGCUGACUACCGGUGCCGUGUCCUGUCACUCUUGUGGCAUUGUCCCGCUGGAUUGAAACUGUGGCUUGCGUGCUAGUACCCGACCUACGGGAAGUGGUGCUUCAUAUAAUUGUUGCCUCGCGGUGGACGCCCUUUGGGUGAGCCACUGCGAUCGAAUAGCGCUUGCGGCGUUGCAUCGUACAGUUGGCACGUAAUGUGUUUGCUGCUAUCACGGCAACCUUGCUCUCGCUUUUGGUCUUGGAUGCUGCUCACGAUAUAGGCUUGAGGCCCUUUUGGUUGCCUUAAUCCGACCCAAAGCUCUUUCCGAAAUGGCGAUCACCGGAACAGGUCUUGCCUCUACCUCUCCACGGUUACGUGGUAGGAUACGCAACCCUCUGCUCCGGCCCUCAUGGAGGAUGAGCCGUGCCCGCUCAAAAGCGACAACCGGCCCGGCUGUUGCAUUUGCCUUUCCAUGCAAGUGGAAGCGCAAGGCAACUACCGAUGCUGGACGUCACCGAGGACGUGCU
rnacentral:misc_RNA from 1 species